CAAGGAAUUUUCGUCAAUGGGCGCAAGCCUGAACGAGCAACGCCGCGUGGAGGAUGACGGCCUUCGGGUUGUAAACUCCUUUUCCGGGGGAUGAUAGUGACCGUACCCUGGGAAUAAGGCUCGGCUAACUCUGUGCCAGCAGCCGCGGUAAGACAGAGGAGCCAAGCGUUGUCCGGAUUGACUGGGCGUAAAGCGCACGCAGGCGGUUGGGCACGUGGGGUGUGAAAGCGGCCCGCUUAACGGGCCGAGGCCAUCCCAUACGGCCCGACUGGAGCCUGGCAGAGGUUCGUGGAAUUGCCGGUGUAGUGGUGAAAUGCGUAGAGAUCGGCAGGAACACCAAGGGGGAAACCAGCGAACUGGGCCAGAGCUGACGCUCAGGUGCGAAAGCGUGGGGAGCGAACC
rnacentral:rRNA from 1 species